rnacentral:rRNA from 1 species
GACGAACGCUGGCGGCGUGCUUAACACAUGCAAGUCGAACGGUGAAGCUCCAGCUUGCUGGAGUGGCUCAGUGGCGAACGGGUGAGUAACACGUGAGCAACCUGCCCCUGACUCUGGAAUAAGCGCUGGAAACGGCGUCUAAUACUGGAUACGAGAAGGGUCCGCAUGGGCACUUUCUGGAAAGUUUUUCGGUUGGGGAUGGGCGCGCGGCCUAUCAGCUUGUUGGUGAGGUAAUGGCUCACCAAGGCGACGACGGGUAGCCGACCUGAGAGGGCGACCGGCCACACGGGGACUGAGACACGGCCCAGACUCCUACGGGAGGCAGCAGUGGGGAAUAUUGCACAAUGGGCGAAAGCCUGAUGCAGCGACGCCGCGUGAGGGAUGACGGCCUUCGGGUUGUAAACCUCUUUCAGCAGGGAAGAAGCGAAAGUGACGGUACCUGCAGAAGAAGCACCGGCUAACUACGUG